rnacentral:SRP_RNA from 1 species
GCCGGGUGCGGUGGCAUGUUGCCUGUAAUCCAAGUCACUGGGAGGCUGAGGUUGGUGGAUCAAGUGAGCUGAGGAGCUCUGGGCUGCAGCACACUAUGUUGAACGGGUGUCCACGCUAAGUUCGGUAUCGAUAUGGUGUUCCUGGGGGAGCCCGGGACCACCAGGUUGUCUAAGGAGGGGUGAACCGGCCCAGGUCGGAAACGAAGCAGGUCAAAUCCCCCGUGCUGUCCAGUAGUGGGAUAAUACCUGUGAGUAGAUGCUGCAGUGCAGCCUUGGCGAAACAUCGAGACCUAUCUUUC